rnacentral:rRNA from 1 species
CCUACGUGGAGCAGCAGUGAGGAAUCUUGGUCAAUGGCCGGACGGCUGAACCAGCCAUGCCGCGUGAAGGUCAGUGCCCUAUGGGCGUUACACUUCUUUUGUGCGGGAGCAAUAAUGGUCACGUGUGGCCAGACGAUAGUACCGUACGAAUAAGCAUCGGCUAACUCCGUGCCAGCAGCCGCGGUAAUACGGGGGAUGCAAGCGUUAUCCGGAGUUAUUGGGUUUAAAGGGUGCGUAGGCUGUGAGUUGAGUCAGCGGUGAAAUGCCCCCGCUCAACGGGGUGAAGUGCCAUUGAUACUGGCUUGCUGGAAUGCGGAUGCCGUGGGAGGAAUGUGUGGUGUAGCGGUGAAAUGCAUAGAUAUCACACAGAACACCGAUUGCGAAGGCAUCUCACGAAUCCGCGAUUGACGCUGAUGCACGAAAGCGUGGGUAUCAAACAGGAUUAGAUACCCGUGUAGUC